UGUGUCAGUGUGAUCUCACAGAGGAAAGCUGUAGGGUUCUGUGCUCAGUUCUCAACUCAAAAGCUUCAAGUCUGAGAGAACUGGACUUGAGUUGCAAUUACAAACUAAAGGAUUCAGGAGUGAAGCUGCUCACUGCUGGACUUAAGAAUCCACACUGUACACUGGAGAUACUGAAUUUGCGUGAGUGCAUGCUUACAGGUGAAAGCUGUAGAAUUCUGUCCUCAGUUCUCAGUUCAAACUCCUCCAGACUGAGAGACCUGAACCUGAGUUACAAUAAGCUGCAGGAUUCAGGAGUGAAGCUGCUCUGCUGGACUGGAGAAUCCACACUGUACACUGGAGAUACUGCAGGUGGUGGGCUGCAGUAUUACAGUUGAAGGUUUUGCUACUCUGGUCUCAGCUCUGAGGUCAAACCCUUCAUCACACCUGAGAGAACUGCAUGUGUACUGGAAUAAACCAGGAGAAACAGGAGUGAAGCUGCUUUAUGACUUUCUGAAGAGUCCACACUGUACACUGGAGAAAAUCCAGUUGGAGCAGUUUUUCAGUCUCACACUGAAAAAAUAUAUCACUGAUGAAGAUUAACAUAAUGAAGCACAAAUAAUAACAUCUGAGAGAACUGAAGUUCUAAUGACUAUUUUGUCAUUUAUAGAUAUUCUGGUUAAUCAGAUGGUGUCUGUAAGAAUGUACCUUUUCAAACUUUUUCCUACCUUUUCAUGUUUACAGACAAUAUUUAAAAAAGUGUAUUUUUAUAUAAUGUGCAAUCAUUUACUGCAGCUGCAAUAUAACCGAAGUGUAUUUAGUGUUUUAGGAGGCCAGGCUCUAAAGGUGUAGAGGCACCUUAUGGUUUUCCUUCCAUCUUCACUCUUGUGUAAAGUUAGGCCUCGGUUUUCUUGUGAUUAAUGAGGCUAAAAUUGUCGUAUGUGUGUGAAAGUGUAGCUCACUGGUUCUUGUGUUUGUCCCAUUAAAAUUCUGCAAAACAUUUAAUGUUAUAUGUUUAAAUUGUAUAUAAUAUGAUUUGUUCCUAAAGUGUUUUAUAUUAGUUAUAACUAAAUCACCCUUCAUAUAUUUAAAGUCCUACAUCCUACUGAUGUUGAGAUUUUAGCAUAUAUCAGCAUAAAUGUAUAAAAGAAU